rnacentral:misc_RNA from 1 species
GAUGAAGAACGCAGCGAAAUGCGAUAAGUAGUGUGAAUUGCAGAAUUCAGUGAAUCAUCGAAUCUUUGAACGCACAUUGCGCCCUUUGGUAUUCCAAAGGGCAUGCCUGUUCGAGCGUCAUUUGUACCCUCAAGCUUUGCUUGGUGUUGGGCGUCUUGUCUCUAGCUUUGCUGGAGACUCGCCUUAAAGUAAUUGGCAGCCGGCCUACUGGUUUCGGAGCGCAGCACAAGUCGCACUCUCUAUCAGCAAAGGUCUAGCAUCCAUUAAGCCUUUUUUUCAACUUUUGACCUCGGAUCAGGUAGGGAUACCCGCCGAACUUAAGCAUAUCAAUAAGCGGAGGA